UACGGAGGGUGCGAGCGUUGUCCGGAAUCACUGGGCGUAAAGGGCGCGUAGGCGGCCUGAUAAGUAGGGGGUGAAAUCCUGCGGCUUAACCGCAGGGCUGCCUUCUAAACUGUCAGGCUCGAGCACAGUAGAGGCAGGUGGAAUUCCCGGUGUAGCGGUGGAAUGCGUAGAUAUCGGGAGGAACACCUGUGGCGAAGGCGGCCCCCUGGUUGGAUACUGACGCUGAUACGCGAAAGCGUGGGGAGCAAACAGG
rnacentral:rRNA from 1 species